rnacentral:rRNA from 1 species
GAGUUUGAUCAUGGCUCAGAUUGAACGCUGGCGGCAGGCUUAACACAUGCAAGUCGAACGAUGAUUACUAGCUUGCUAGUAUGAUUAGUGGCGAACGGGUGAGUAAUGCUUAGGAAUCUGCCUAUUAGUGGGGGACAACAUUCCGAAAGGAAUGCUAAUACCGCAUACGUCCUACGGGAGAAAGCAGGGGAUCGCAAGACCUUGCGCUAAUAGAUGAGCCUAAGUCGGAUUAGCUAGUUGGUGGGGUAAAGGCCUACCAAGGCGACGAUCUGUAGCUGGUCUGAGAGGAUGAUCAGCCACACUGGGACUGAGACACGGCCCAGACUCCUACGGGAGGCAGCAGUGGGGAAUAUUGGACAAUGGGCGAAAGCCUGAUCCAGCCAUGCCGCGUGUGUGAAGAAGGCCUUUUGGUUGUAAAGCACUUUAAGUGGGGAGGAAAAGCUAAUAAUUAAUACCUAUAGCCCUGA